UCAGUGUAUAGAAUGAAACAAAAACGUCCUGCAAGGUCGUUAUAGAGUUGCGUUUAGUCGUUUAUCGUUGUAUUCGUUCAUUUCGAAAUCGUUACUGACAAAAGUAUUAAA